AUGUGUGUGUGUGUGUGUAUUUAGUUGAAAACAGUUAAAGUUCAAAGUAUUGCCUAUCUUGAAGAUGGUGAGGUAGCAUCACAAAGCUGUUAGCAUUGAGUCUCUGGACCGACUUUGAUUCCAGUCUCUGCAGCAGCAGUGAUCACUUAGUGAAGAGUGCUUAGGAUAGUUGGCCAGUCCUGAAUAUCAAAAUCUUCAGCAGCAGCUCCCACCAGGACUUAUCUCAGAAAACUGCUGACUGCCUGGGCCUGGAGCUCAGCAAGGUAGUGACUAAGAAAUUCAGCAACUAGGAGACCUGUAUGGAAAUUGGCGAAAGUGUACGUGGAGAGAAUGUCUACAUCAUUCGGAGUGGUUGUGGUGAAAUCAACAAUAAUUUAAUGGCACCUUUAAUCAUGAUUAAUACCUGCAAGAUUGUUUCAGCCAGCCAGCUUACUGCAGUCAUCCCAUGCUUCCCUUAUGCCCAGCAGGAUAAGAAAGACAAGAGUCGGGUGACAAUCUCAGCCAAGCUUGUUGCAAAUACGCUAUCUGUAGCAGGUGCAGAUCAUAUUACCACCAUGGACCUACAUGCUUCUCAAAUUCAGGGGUUUUUUUUGACAUCCCAGUGAACUACUUAUAUGGAGACCUAGGUGUCCUGAAGUGGAUAAGGGAGAAUAUCUCUGAGCAGAAGAACUGCACUAUUGUCUCAUUUGAUGCUGGUGGAGCUAAGAGAGUGAACUCCAUAGAAGACAGGCUGAAUGUGGACUUUGCCUUGAUUCACAAAGAAGGCCAAUUAAGUGGAUCGCAUGGUGCUUGUGGGAGAUGUGAAGGUUCUGGUGGCCAUCCUUGUGGAUGACAUGGUUGACACUUGUGGCACAAUCUGCCAUGCAGCUGACAAACUUCUCUUAGCUGGAGUCACCAGAGUUUAUGCUAUCUUGACUCCAAGUAUCUUCUGUGGUCCAGCUAUUUCUCACAUCAACAACGCAUGCUUUAAAGCAGUAGUAGUCACCAAUACCAUACCCCAGGACGACAAGAUGAAGCACCGCUCCAAAAUACAGGUGAUCGACAUCUCUAUGAUCCUUGCAGAAGCCAUCAGGAAAACUCACAAUGAAGAAUCCAUUUCUUACCUAUUCAGUCAUGUCCCUUUAUAACACAGUUACUUCUGAGGUUUUUUAAGAUUAAAAUCCACCCCACCCCUUGUUUUCCCUUGGUAUUUGAUGACAAAUUCAGAAGACCCAGCUUACUCCAGUGUAGCUUUCAAUAUCCCACAUCAGGUAUAUCUGAGCUUAUCCGAAAUGGAGAAAGACGGGUUGAGAUUAACUGCUGGGACUUCCUACCUGCACUGUCUCAUUCUGGCUUCCUUGAUGAUUUUGCGAGUCUUGCAGCUUUAACAAGAGCUCAGCUGUUACAAGAUUUCAGACUUUUGAGGAUAGUGGGGGUGUCUGACUGUGAUUGGAGAAGCUCAGACUACCUUGCAUGUGAAUGCUUCAGGGUUUUCUUUGUUGAGAACAACUAGCAACGAAGCCAACCCAUGUGUGAGCAGUUCUCCCCAAGGUCUAUGCUAAAUUAUGGCAAGAGCCCUGGGCAACCCCAAA